rnacentral:rRNA from 1 species
AAACAACUGCAGACGGCGGAUCGCUCGGCUCGCGCGUCGA